rnacentral:rRNA from 1 species
GGUUAAGCGACUAAGCGUACACGGUGGAUGCCCUGGCAGUCAGAGGCGAUGAAGGACGUGCUAAUCUGCGAUAAGCGUCGGUAAGGUGAUAUGAACCGUUAUAACCGGCGAUUUCCGAAUGGGGAAACCCAGUGUGUUUCGACACACUAUCAUUAACUGAAUCCAUAGGUUAAUGAGGCGAACCGGGGGAACUGAAACAUCUAAGUACCCCGAGGAAAAGAAAUCAACCGAGAUUCCCCCAGUAGCGGCGAGCGAACGGGGAGCAGCCCAGAGCCUGAAUCAGUGUGUGUGUUAGUGGAAGCGUCUGGAAAGGCGCGCGAUACAGGGUGACAGCCCCGUACACAAAAAUGCACAUGCUGUGAGCUCGAUGAGUAGGGCGGGACACGUGGUAUCCUGUCUGAAUAUGGGGGGACCAUCCUCCAAGGCUAAAUACUCCUGACUGACCGAUAGUGAACCAGUACCGUGAGGGAAAGGCGAAAAGAACCCCGGCGAGGGGAGUGAAAAAGAACCUGAAACCGUGUACGUACAAGCAGUGGGAGCACGCUUAGGCGUGUGACUGCGUACCUUUUGUAUAAUGGGUCAGCGACUUAUAUUCUGUAGCAAGGUUAACCGAAUAGGGGAGCCGAAGGGAAACCGAGUCUUAACUGGGCGUUAAGUUGCAGGGUAUAGACCCGAAACCCGGUGAUCUAGCCAUGGGCAGGUUGAAGGUUGGGUAACACUAACUGGAGGACCGAACCGACUAAUGUUGAAAAAUUAGCGGAUGACUUGUGGCUGGGGGUGAAAGGCCAAUCAAACCGGGAGAUAGCUGGUUCUCCCCGAAAGCUAUUUAGGUAGCGCCUCGUGAAUUCAUCUCCGGGGGUAGAGCACUGUUUCGGCAAGGGGGUCAUCCCGACUUACCAACCCGAUGCAAACUGCGAAUACCGGAGAAUGUUAUCACGGGAGACACACGGCGGGUGCUAACGUCCGUCGUGAAGAGGGAAACAACCCAGACCGCCAGCUAAGGUCCCAAAGUCAUGGUUAAGUGGGAAACGAUGUGGGAAGGCCCAGACAGCCAGGAUGUUGGCUUAGAAGCAGCCAUCAUUUAAAGAAAGCGUAAUAGCUCACUGGUCGAGUCGGCCUGCGCGGAAGAUGUAACGGGGCUAAACCAUGCACCGAAGCUGCGGCAGCGACGCUUAUGCGUUGUUGGGUAGGGGAGCGUUCUGUAAGCCUGUGAAGGUGUGCUGUGAGGCAUGCUGGAGGUAUCAGAAGUGCGAAUGCUGACAUAAGUAACGAUAAAGCGGGUGAAAAGCCCGCUCGCCGGAAGACCAAGGGUUCCUGUCCAACGUUAAUCGGGGCAGGGUGAGUCGACCCCUAAGGCGAGGCCGAAAGGCGUAGUCGAUGGGAAACAGGUUAAUAUUCCUGUACUUGGUGUUACUGCGAAGGGGGGACGGAGAAGGCUAUGUUGGCCGGGCGACGGUUGUCCCGGUUUAAGCGUGUAGGCUGGUUUUCCAGGCAAAUCCGGAAAAUCAAGGCUGAGGCGUGAUGACGAGGCACUACGGUGCUGAAGCAACAAAUGCCCUGCUUCCAGGAAAAGCCUCUAAGCAUCAGGUAACAUCAAAUCGUACCCCAAACCGACACAGGUGGUCAGGUAGAGAAUACCAAGGCGCUUGAGAGAACUCGGGUGAAGGAACUAGGCAAAAUGGUGCCGUAACUUCGGGAGAAGGCACGCUGAUAUGUAGGUGAAGUCCCUCGCGGAUGGAGCUGAAAUCAGUCGAAGAUACCAGCUGGCUGCAACUGUUUAUUAAAAACACAGCACUGUGCAAACACGAAAGUGGACGUAUACGGUGUGACGCCUGCCCGGUGCCGGAAGGUUAAUUGAUGGGGUUAGCGCAAGCGAAGCUCUUGAUCGAAGCCCCGGUAAACGGCGGCCGUAACUAUAACGGUCCUAAGGUAGCGAAAUUCCUUGUCGGGUAAGUUCCGACCUGCACGAAUGGCGUAAUGAUGGCCAGGCUGUCUCCACCCGAGACUCAGUGAAAUUGAACUCGCUGUGAAGAUGCAGUGUACCCGCGGCAAGACGGAAAGACCCCGUGAACCUUUACUAUAGCUUGACACUGAACAUUGAGCCUUGAUGUGUAGGAUAGGUGGGAGGCUUAGAAGUGUGGACGCCAGUCUGCAUGGAGCCGACCUUGAAAUACCACCCUUUAAUGUUUGAUGUUCUAACGUUGACCCGUAAUCCGGGUUGCGGACAGUGUCUGGUGGGUAGUUUGACUGGGGCGGUCUCCUCCUAAAGAGUAACGGAGGAGCACGAAGGUUGGCUAAUCCUGGUCGGACAUCAGGAGGUUAGUGCAAUGGCAUAAGCCAGCUUGACUGCGAGCGUGACGGCGCGAGCAGGUGCGAAAGCAGGUCAUAGUGAUCCGGUGGUUCUGAAUGGAAGGGCCAUCGCUCAACGGAUAAAAGGUACUCCGGGGAUAACAGGCUGAUACCGCCCAAGAGUUCAUAUCGACGGCGGUGUUUGGCACCUCGAUGUCGGCUCAUCACAUCCUGGGGCUGAAGUAGGUCCCAAGGGUAUGGCUGUUCGCCAUUUAAAGUGGUACGCGAGCUGGGUUUAGAACGUCGUGAGACAGUUCGGUCCCUAUCUGCCGUGGGCGCUGGAGAACUGAGGGGGGCUGCUCCUAGUACGAGAGGACCGGAGUGGACGCAUCACUGGUGUUCGGGUUGUCAUGCCAAUGGCACUGCCCGGUAGCUAAAUGCGGAAGAGAUAAGUGCUGAAAGCAUCUAAGCACGAAACUUGCCCCGAGAUGAGUUCUCCCUGACUCCUUGAGAGUCCUGAAGGAACGUUGAAGACGACGACGUUGAUAGGCCGGGUGUGUAAGCGCAGCGAUGCGUUGAGCUAACCGGUACUAAUGAACCGUGAGGCUUAACCUUACAACGCCGAAGAUGUUUUG